rnacentral:rRNA from 1 species
UACGAAGGGGGCUAGCGUUGCUCGGAAUCACUGGGCGUAAAGGGUGCGUAGGCGGGUCUUUAAGUCAGGGGUGAAAUCCUGGAGCUCAACUCCAGAACUGCCUUUGAUACUGAAGAUCUUGAGUUCGGGAGAGGUGAGUGGAACUGCGAGUGUAGAGGUGAAAUGCGUAGAUAUCGGGAGGAACACCAGUGGCGAAGGCGGACUCACUGGCUCGACACUGACGCUGAGACGCGAAAGCGUGGGGAGCGAACAGG